rnacentral:rRNA from 1 species
CCUACGGGUGGGCAGCAGUGAGGAAUAUUGGUCAAUGGACGAGAGGUUGAACCAGCCAAGGAGCGUGAAGGAUGACUGCCCGAUGGGUUGGAAACUUAUUUUAUAUGGGAAGCAAACAGGGUAUGCAUACCCUCUUGUAUGUACCAUAUGAAUAAGGAUCGGCUAACUCCGUGCCAGCAGCCGCGGUAAUACGGCGGAUCCGAGCGUUAUCCGGAUUUAUUGGGUUGAAAGGGAGCGUAGUUGGAUUGUUAAGUCAGUUGUGAAAGUUUGCGGCUCAACCGUAAAAUUGCAGUGGAAACUGGCAGUCUUGAGUACAGUAGAGGUGGGCGGAAUGCGUGGUGUAGCGGUGAAAUGCUUAGAUAUCACGAAGAACUCCGAUUGCGAAGGCAGCUCACUGGACUGCAACUGACACUGAUGCUCGAAAGUGUGGGUAUCAAACAGGAUUAGAUACCCUUGUAGUC